CCCUCGGGGCCCAACCUCCCACCCGUGUAUACCGUACCUUGUUGCUUCGGCGGGCCCGCCGCGCAAGCGGCCGCCGGGGGGGCGUCAAACCCCCCUCCCUAGGCGAGCGCCCGCCGGAGACACCAACGUGAACACUGUCUGAAGUUUUGUUGUCUGAGUUCGAUUGUAUCGCAAUCAGUUAAAACUUUCAACAAUGGAUCUCUUGGUUCCGGCAUCGAUGAAGAACGCAGCGAAAUGCGAUAAUUAAUGUGAAUUGCAGAAUUCAGUGAAUCAUCGAGUCUUUGAACGCACAUUGCACCCCCUGGUAUUCCGGGGGGUAUGCCUGUCCGAGCGUCAUUGCUGCCCUCAAGCACGGCUUGUGUGUUGGGUCGUCGUCCCCCCUCCCGGGGGGGACGGGCCCGAAAGGCAGCGGCGGCACCGCGUCCGGUCCUCGAGCGUAUGGGGCUUUGUCACCCGCUCUUGUAGGCCCGGCCGGCGCUGGCCGACGCUGAAAAGCAACCAACUAUUUCUCCAGGUUGACCUCGGAUCAGGUAGGGAUACCCGCUGAACUUA
rnacentral:misc_RNA from 1 species